rnacentral:rRNA from 1 species
UACGUAGGGUGCAAGCGUUAAUCGGAAUUACUGGGCGUAAAGCGUGCGCAGGCGGUUCUAUAAGACAGAUGUGAAAUCCCCGGGCUCAACCUGGGAACUGCAUUUGUGACUGUAGAGCUGGAGUACGGUAGAGGGGGAUGGAAUUCCGCGUGUAGCAGUGAAAUGCGUAGAUAUGCGGAGGAACACCGAUGGCGAAGGCAAUCCCCUGGACCUGUACUGACGCUGAUGCACGAAAGCUGGGGGAGCAAACAGG